AACGAACGCUGGCGGCGCGCUUAACACAUGCAAGUCGAACGAGAAGGCGUAGCAAUACGCUUGUACAGUGGCGAACGGGUGAGUAAUACGUGGGCGACCUACCCUCGAGUGGGGAAUAACCCGCCGAAAGGCGGGCUAAUGCCGCGUACGCUUCCAUCUUUAUGGAGGUGGAAGGAAAGCCGUGCCGUGGGCACGGCGCUCAAGGAUGGGCUCACGUCCUAUCAGCUUGUUGGAGGGUAACGGCCUACCAAGGCUCCGACGGGUAGCUGGUCUGAGAGGACGAUCAGCCACACUGGCACUGCGACACGGGCCAGACUCCUACGGGAGGCAGCAGUGAGGAAUAUUGCGCAAUGGGCGAAAGCCUGACGCAGCGACGCCGCGUGGGGGAUGAAGGUCUUCGGAUUGUAAACCCCUUUC
rnacentral:rRNA from 1 species